rnacentral:rRNA from 1 species
UACGUAGGGGGGCAAGCGUUGUCCGGAAUCAUUGGGCGUAAAGCGCACGUAGGCGGCCCGGUAAGUCCGUUGUGAAAGUCAGAGGCUCAACCUCUGGAGGCCAAUGGAUACUGCCGGGCUAGAGUCCGGAAGAGGCGAGUGGAAUUCCUGGUGUAGCGGUGAAAUGCGUAGAGAUCAGGAGGAGCACCCAUGGCGAAGGCAGCACUCUGGACCGGACCUGACGCUGAGACGCGAAAGCGUGGGGAGCGAACGGG